rnacentral:sRNA from 1 species
AAUUUUAUUUAAAUAAAACUUAUUUAUACGUUGCGGCGGUUUGGUUAUUUGCGCGAACUAAUUAAACGCCCAAAGAAUAUAAUUACUAUUGUUUUAUAUACUAAUAAUUAUUUUAUAACGGAAAAGCCGGUAAUUUCAAAUAUAUAUAUAUAUAUAUAUAUAUAUACGCGUAGUAUAUUUUAACAAUAUUUAAAAUAUAUUAGCAAUAAUUAUAAAAAUUCGGUUUUGUAAUAUUUAUUUUUCGAAAUAUCCCGGUUUUUAUUUAAUCGAAUAGGGUAUUUCGUAUUUCGAAAUUUUUCUAAAUAACCGGUUUUAAUUAUCCCAAACAAAUUAAACGACCAUUAAUUUGCAAUUAUAUAUUGGCGUCUUAUAUUAGCAGAAUAAUAAUACCAAUAUAGUAAUAUAAUGCAAAUUAAAACUGGUAUUGGAAAUAUUAAUAUUUAAAACGCAAACAUUGAAAAAAAAAUUGAAAUCGGCAAAAUCGGUUAUUAUUUUAUUACGUUCGGCUGAAAAUAAACCAGCUUGGAUAAUAAUAACGCCGAAAUUGGUUUUUCCAAAAAUGGCCGCGAUUAAAUUAUAAAGAUUAUCCAAUAUAUAACCGAUCGUAGUAAUCGUUAUAAAAAUCAAAAUAAAUAAUUAUUAUAAUUGUUACAAUUAUAAAAAACCAAUGAUAAUAAUAAUUAUCAUGGGGAAAUUUAUAUUUGGAUUUAUAAAUUCGAAAUUAUAAUUAACAUCCGUGAAUUUCGUUUCUUUUUAUACAGACUUUUAUCAUUCUGGGAAUAAAUCGUAGUUUAUUUAAUAUAAAAAAAGUUAUUUCGGUUUUAUCCGAUAAAAAUAACCUUUUUAGGCUAGUAUAUAUUAUAAAAUAUAUUUAAUUAAACAAUCCGUCCCCGUUAUAUUAUAAAAACGCGUUUAUAAUUACCAAUUUAAAACCGGUUUUAUUACCCGAAAAGCUUUUUUUAAAUAUUUUGGCAAAUUUCGCCAUAUUUGUAUUUGAAAUUAAUAUUUGUUAAAACCAGUAAUUUCCAUAAUUUAGUCUAAUUGGUAUUUUAAAUAUUAUUUUCAGCGUAAAUUAUGGUUUAAAAAAACAAUUUUUUACCAGAAAUUGCAAAAGCCAGAUAAAUUUCAUAUUUAAAAAUACUAAUAUUUUACUUUAUAAAUCCGUUUUAUUUGCGUCCAAGUUAUCCCCAAAUAAAACGGAGCUAAUCCUAUUUAUAUUUUCGUUUAUUAAGAAAAUUACAUUAUGUUUUAAAAUUGGUUUUAUACUUUUUAUUACAUUUUUACAACGAUAGCCACAUUGAAAUCUUUUAAUAACAAUAUAAUAAAAACGAAUUGUUUCGCGGGGAUAAAUAAUUAUGCAAUUUGGUAACGUUAAUUUAAAAUUAUACCGCGGCGUAUAAUAUAAAUAUCCGUAUUAUGGAAAAAAAAACAAAAAAUACUAUUCGGGGUAAUUCGAGGAAUAAUUAAUUUUAAAACGCGAAAGUGCACUAACUUUUAUUUCCACUUUAUAAAUUUGAAUUUUUAAAACGAAAUUUUAAUAUUAUUAUUAAUAUUUGAAACGAGGAACAUGGAACGAGAAUUCUAAGUAUAAACGACCGAGAAUAUAUUGUUUCAUUUAUAUUCCUAAAACGGACGAAAAAUUAGAUGUUUUAUCUUAUAUUAAUGCGCCGAAAUUAAUUAUACUUCUAAUUUUAUUAAUUAUUAACAUUAUAAUAAUUAUAUACCGAUUAAUAUAGAAAAGUAAAACAAAAUAAACAGCACGUUACAAAUUUUUGGUAAUAGAAAUAUUGGGUUAAAUUUCCAAUUAUUUAUUAAGAAAGAAUAUUCGCCAAAAAAUAUAAUACCAACCGUUUAAUUUAUUUGGUAUUAUCGCCUUUAAAAAUUAACCUGUGAACCGUAUUUAAAUCGACGUAACCAAAUAAAAGAUUUUAAUUUAAAUUAGAAUUAAUAAAUAAAAAUAUAUUAUAACAAUUAUUAUAAAAAUAUAUUUUUACUCGAUAUUAUUACCUAAAUUGAAAUUAGUAUUAGUUUUAUCGCUAUUGGAGUUAUCCGUUUAAAUAAUAAUACUAAUUAUUCCGCAUAUAUAUUACAGAUUAAAUAUGUCUUCCUCGUUAAAAACUCCGUUUAAUUAUUCGGUUUCGCGGAUUAAAAAAAACUAAAUAAAACGCAAUAUUAACCGUGUCCGCGGAUUUAAAGUCGAGUUUAAUAACGGCAAACUUUAUUAAUAUUAUAUAAGAUUGCAAUUAAAUUACAAUAAUAACCGUUCGCUGUCUAUUAACAAUAUAUAUUUUAAUUAAACUGUAAUUAUAUUUAACGUCGAGGCCGGGAACAUUUGUAACGGUUUUCUUAAACGUUUGGAAUACAAAAUUAAUAAAAACGAAAAUUAGAAUAAGAAAAUAACUAUUGGAAUUCUAAAUAGUUUAAUUAUAUUAAUAACGGAAAUAUUAUAUAUAAAUUACCGUAAAACAAAUAAUAAUUUUACUAAUAUUUAUUUUAUUGGUAAAUAACCAAUUUGGUAAAAUUAAUUGCUCGAAUUUGACAAAAUAAAAGUAUUUGUAAUCGAACGGAAAUUAAUUAACGAAAUUGGAAAUUGCAAUAACAAUUAUAAAAUUUAAAAAUGCAAAAUUGAAAUAAAAAUUAGUUAAAAUUGUAAUAGUUAUUAAAAUUAAUAGGGAUAAUAUAAAUAAUACUUACCAACGAAUUAAUAAAAAAUAAUAACAAUUGGAAACAAUAUAGGAAAUAUUUUAAUUUGGUUAAAAAUAUUUGUUUUUAACUUUUGGGUAAUUAAACUUUAUUUUACCAUUAAUUUUUAAUUCGUCGAUUCGAAAACGGUUAUAAUAAAACUGCAAUUAAUAUAUCACGGCUUAAAUAACGUUCAAAUUUGAAAUAUAAUUAAAUUUGAAAUAGCUUUUGAUAAAAACAAAAAGUUAUGUAUAAUAAAUUAAUAAAAUUUUGAAAAUCCGUUCGCUGGUUUUUUCGAAAGUUUCCGCGUCGCGACGGUUAUUUUUGGCCAAACAAUUCGCAAUAAUUAAUUGGAUUUAUAUAGAAUUAAGAAAAUUGGUUUGCUAAUUAUCACCGAAAAAUUUCGGAUAAAAUUUAAUAAUAUUGGCUUUGGGUUUAGUAAUAAUAAAAGGAGAAAAGUCUUUUUUUAUUACAUAUAUUAUUGAGGAUAUUUUCCCAUAUUAAUAAAUUUAACGGGUAUAUUUAAAUUUAAUACGCACGUUUUUUAUAACCGUCUAAUUUCGGUAGGUUUAAAAAGGAAUUAAAUAUUUAUAUUUAAUUAUAUUAUUAUCCUAUUAUAAUAAACAAAACUGAAAGCCGAUAAACGUAUAACGUCGAUAAUUAAAUUUGCGCGCGAAUAAAUAUUUAAACGUUAUUGGAACUUUAUUAAAUGCAAAUUACUUAAAAUAAUAACGUUAUCGACAAUUGUUAAAUAAUUGGUAUUUGUAAAUAACGUAAAUAAUUAUUCGAUGUUAAAUUUGAAAAAAUUCCGGAAACCGCCCCCAAAUUCGUUGGGACUUUUUUCAGCGAUAAUAAUUUUACCGGUUCGACGAAAUACAAGAUAAAAAAAUGGGAAUAACCCCGCAAUUAAUUCUUAAUAUAAAAACCGCCAUAUAUAUAAAAUUCCGGAUUGGCAGAUUUAAUUUCAAUUCCCUAUAUUAAAAAUGAAAUUAGUUAUUAUUUUCCGUAAAUAAAAUAAUAUUGUGGUUAAAAUAGCUGAAAUUAUGGCAAAUUUAAAUUUGUCGGUAAAGAUUUUCAAACCAGGCAAUUUAUAUUAUUUUGGCAAAUAAAAAACGGGAUAAUAAACAAUUAAUAUUAGGUGGUUAAACUUUUAAAAAUUAAUAUAAUAUUUUUAUUCCAGAAUAUAUUGGGUACGGAAACCAAAAUUUUUUACCAAACGAGUAUUUUAUUACCCGUUAUUCAUUUGCCGGGGUUAUUGGUUUUAAAAUACGCCAAAACCCAAAUACGUCCGUUAUUAAAGAAAAUUAAUUAAAAAAAUGUCAAUUAUUAUUAUAAAUUAAAAACACGUUAGAAAAAUUCCCAAUUAUAAUAAUUAUUAUAAUUUGUAGAAAGAAUGGGGAAAACGUUUUUUUAAAAUAUUAAUAUAUUAUAUUAAAAUAUUAAUCGAUUUAUAACCGAAAGUAAUUAUAUUGUUGCUGGUAUUUAACGAAUUAGUUUUAAAAACAGAAACCAAACUUUGGCCGUUAAUUUAUAUUUUUGCCGCGGCGAUCCCAAUUACUAAUUAAAUACGUUGGGAUAUUUGGGCGAUAAUUAAUAUAUUUAUAUAACGAAAAAAUACCAUUUCCAAUUCCAGAUUGUAUGGGAAAUAUACCGUUAUUAUCGAUAUUAAAAUAAUUAGCGUAAUUUAAAUGGGGAAAAAUGCAAACAAUUUUAACAAUAUUUGUAUUUUUUAUUUUAUACCAAAUUUUAAAUAUUAUUUAUAUUAAAAUUUCCUGUUAAUUUAUUUGAAAUUCUUUUAGGACGGGGCGGGUAAAGGGUGUUAUAAACUUAUAUUUUGGUGCAAUGGGAAAUAACAUUUGGGUUAAAUAUAAUUUA